GUGCAGCACUACGGGCGCUUGUGUCUGAUCGUUUCUCCACCUUUCAUCCACCUGGCUUCGUAUUCAAGUAGCCAGAGAUGAAGGUGUCGCGAAAUGCUGAUUACACAAUGCUGAGAUUGUACCGUCAAACUCGAUCAAGUUAAUGCUUGCGUGGGAAACGUGCUGCCAGCUUCUC
rnacentral:ncRNA from 1 species